AAAUAAAAAUUGUUGGGCUUUUAUUUUGAAGGUUUGUACUCUGAAGCUAAGAGUACUUUUCUUGCUGUAUGCUUUUAUUUUGAAAUAAAGUUAGGAAGGUUAGGACAGGAAGUUAAGCCCAUAAACAGGAAGUGGUUAGGGAUCGUCAAACAUCUCAAAUCAAAUGGUGACAAAGGUCAAUGUGUGAUGUCAUGAGGUCAAUAUGUGAUGUCAUGAGGUCAAUGCGUGAUGUCAUGAGGUCAAUGUGUGAUGUCAUGAGGUCAAUGCGUGAUGUCAUGAGGUCAAUGCGUGAUGUCAUGAGGUCGAUGGGUGAUGUCAUGAGGUCAAUGCGUGAUGUCAUGAGGUCAAUGCGUGAUGUCAUGAGGUCAAUGCGUGAUGUCAUGAGGUCAAUGCGUGAUGUCAUGAGGUCAAUGUGUGAUGUCAUGAGGUCAAUGUGUGAUGUCAUGAGGUCAAUGUGUGAUGUCAUAAGGUCAAUGUGUGAUGUCAUAAGGUCAAUGUGUGAUGUCAUAAGGUAAGCUGAGCUGUCUGAGAGUUGGUUAAAGUGAAAUGAGACAUUCAAAGAUGCAGCAGUUUCCUGUUGUGAUGUCCACAUCCAACAAAUUGACUUCCAGGAGACUUCACAACAAAAGACUU